rnacentral:rRNA from 1 species
GUGGGGAAUAUUGCACAAUGGGCGCAAGCCUGAUGCAGCCAUGCCGCGUGUAUGAAGAAGGCCUUCGGGUUGUAAAGUACUUUCAGCGAGGAGGAAGGUGUUGAGGUUAAUAACCUCAGCAAUUGACGUUACUCGCAGAAGAAGCACCGGCUAACUCCGUGCCAGCAGCCGCGGUAAUACGGAGGGUGCAAGCGUUAAUCGGAAUUACUGGGCGUAAAGCGCACGCAGGCGGUCUGUUAAGUCAGAUGUGAAAUCCCCGGGCUCAACCUGGGAACUGCAUUUGAAACUGGCAGGCUUGAGUCUUGUAGAGGGGGGUAGAAUUCCAGGUGUAGCGGUGAAAUGCGUAGAGAUCUGGAGGAAUACCGGUGGCGAAGGCGGCCCCCUGGACAAAGACUGACGCUCAGGUGCGAAAGCGUGGGGAGCAAACAGGAUUAGAUACCCGGGUAGUCC